rnacentral:rRNA from 1 species
GAUGAACGCUGGCGGCGUGCCUAAUACAUGCAAGUCGAGCGAACAGAUGAGGAGCUUGCUCCUCUGACGUUAGCGGCGGACGGGUGAGUAACACGUGGAUAACCUACCUAUAAGACUGGGAUAACUUCGGGAAACCGGAGCUAAUACCGAAUAAUAUAUUGAACCGCAUGGUUCAAUAGUGAAAGACGGUUUUGCUGUCACUUAUAGAUGGAUCCGCGCCGCAUUAGCUAGUUGGUAAGGUAACGGCUUACCAAGGCAACGAUGCGUAGCCAACCUGAGAGGGUGAUCGGCCACACUGGAACUGAGACACGGUCCAGACUCCUACGGGAGGCAGCAGUAGGGAAUCUUCCGCAAUGGGCGAAAGCCUGACGGAGCAACGCCGCGUGAGUGAUGAAGGUCUUCGGAUCGUAAAACUCUGUUAUUAGGGAAGAACAAAUGUGUAAGUAACUAUGCAUGUCUUGACGGUACCUAAUCAGAAAGCCACGGCUAACUACGUG